GCCAGGUGCAGUGACGCAUUCCUGUAAUCCUGGUGGCUCGGGAGGCUGAGGCAGGAGAAUCAUGAGUUCAAAGCCAGACUCGGCAACAGCAAGGCGCUAAGCAACUCAGUGAGACCCUGUCUCUU
rnacentral:sRNA from 1 species